rnacentral:rRNA from 1 species
UCAAGUAAUUAAGUGCAUGUGGUGGAUGCCUUGGCAGUCAGAGGCGAUGAAAGACGUGAUAGCCUGCGAAAAGCUCCGGGGAGGCGGCAAAUAUCCUUUGAUCCGGAGAUGUCUGAAUGGGGGAACCCACCUACUUUAAGGUAGGUAUUGCAACAUGAAUACAUAGUGUUGCAAGGCGAACGAGGGGAAGUGAAACAUCUCAGUACCCUUAGGAAAAGAAAUCAAUUGAGAUUCCCUCAGUAGCGGCGAGCGAACGGGGAUCAGCCCAUUAAGUUAUGUGUGUUUUAGUGGAACGCUCUGGGAAGUGCGAACGUAGAGGGUGAUAUUCCCGUACACGAAAGGGCACACAUAAUGAUGACGAGUAGGGCGAGGCACGUGAAACCUUGUCUGAAUAUGGGGGGACCAUCCUCCAAGGCUAAAUACUCCUGACUGACCGAUAGUGAACCAGUACCGUGAGGGAAAGGCGAAAAGAACCCCUGUGAGGGGAGUGAAAUAGAUCCUGAAACCGCAUGCAUACAAGCAGUGGGAGCACCUUCGUGGUGUGACUGCGUACCUUUUGUAUAAUGGGUCAGCGACUUAUAUUCAGUAGCGAGGUUAACCGUAUAGGGGAGCCGUAGAGAAAUCGAGUCUUAAUAGGGCGUUUAGUUGCUGGGUAUAGACCCGAAACCAGGCGAUCUAUCCAUGAGCAGGUUGAAGGUUGGGUAACACUAACUGGAGGACCGAACCCACUGUCGUUGAAAAGCCAGGGGAUGACUUGUGGAUAGGGGUGAAAGGCUAAUCAAGCCUGGUGAUAGCUGGUUCUCCCCGAAAGCUAUUUAGGUAGCGCCUCGGACGAAUACCAUAGGGGGUAGAGCACUGUUUCGGCUAGGGGGUCAUCCCGACUUACCAAACCGAUGCAAACUCCGAAUACCUAUGAGUACUAUCCGGGAGACAGACUGCGGGUGCUAACGUCCGUAGUCAAGAGGAAAACAAUCCAGACCGCCAGCUAAGGCCCCAAAAUCAUAGUUAAGUGGGAAACGAUGUGGGAAGGCAUAGACAGCUAGGAGGUUGGCUUAGAAGCAGCCACCCUUUAAAGAAAGCGUAAUAGCUCACUAGUCGAGUCGGCCUGCGCGGAAGAUGUAACGGGGCUAAAACUAUGUGCCGAAGCUGCGGAUGUAUACUUUGUAUACGUGGUAGGGGAGCGUUCUGUAAGCCGAUGAAGGUGUGUUGAGAAGCAUGCUGGAGGUAUCAGAAGUGCGAAUGCUGACGUGAGUAACGACAAAACGGGUGAAAAACCCGUUCGCCGAAAGACCAAGGGUUCCAGUCCAACGUUAAUCGGGGCUGGGUGAGUCGACCCCUAAGGCGAGGCCGAAAGGCGUAGUCGAUGGGAAAAUGGUUAAUAUUCCAUUACUUCUGUGUAAUGCGAUGAGAGGACGGAGAAGGCUAAAUCAGCCUGGCGUUGGUUGUCCAGGUGAAAGGAUGUAGGCAUGUAUCUUAGGCAAAUCCGGGGUACUCUAUGCUGAGAUCUGAUAGCAAGCUGUACUUGUACAGCGAAGUGGUUGAUGCCAUGCUUCCAGGAAAAGUCUCUAAGCUUCAGUUACACAGGAAUCGUACCCGAAACCGACACAGGUGGUCAGGUCGAGUAGACCAAGGCGCUUGAGAGAACUCUGCUGAAGGAACUAGGCAAAAUGGUACCGUAACUUCGGGAGAAGGUACGCUGUUGUUGGUGAUGGAACUCGCUUCCUGAGCUGACGACAGCCGCAGAAACCAGGCCGCUGCAACUGUUUAUUAAAAACAUAGCACUCUGCAAACACGAAAGUGGACGUAUAGGGUGUGAUGCCUGCCCGGUGCUGGAAGGUUAAUUGAUGGGGUUAGCGUAAGCGAAGCUCUUGAUCGAAGCCCCAGUAAACGGCGGCCGUAACUAUAACGGUCCUAAGGUAGCGAAAUUCCUUGUCGGGUAAGUUCCGACCUGCACGAAUGGCAUAAUGAUGGCGGCGCUGUCUCCAGCAGAGGCUCAGUGAAAUCGAAAUCGCUGUGAAGAUGCAGUGUACCCGCGGCUAGACGGAAAGACCCCGUGAACCUUUACUGCAGCUUGACACUGAACUUUGACCUUACUUGUGUAGGAUAGGUGGGAGGCUUUGAAGCUGGAACGCUAGUUCCAGUGGAGCCGUCCUUGAAAUACCACCCUGGUAAUGUUGAGGUUCUAACUCUGUCCCGUGAUCCGGGACGAGGACCGUGUCUGGUGGGUAGUUUGACUGGGGCGGUCUCCUCCUAAAGAGUAACGGAGGAGUACGAAGGUGCGCUCAGCGUGGUCGGAAAUCACGCGUAGAGUAUAAAGGCAAAAGCGCGCUUAACUGCGAGACCCACAAGUCGAGCAGGUACGAAAGUAGGUCUUAGUGAUCCGGUGGUUCUGUAUGGAAGGGCCAUCGCUCAACGGAUAAAAGGUACUCUGGGGAUAACAGGCUGAUACCGCCCAAGAGUUCAUAUCGACGGCGGUGUUUGGCACCUCGAUGUCGGCUCAUCUCAUCCUGGGGCUGAAGCAGGUCCCAAGGGUAUGGCUGUUCGCCAUUUAAAGAGGUACGCGAGCUGGGUUUAGAACGUCGUGAGACAGUUCGGUCCCUAUCUACCGUGGGCGCUGGAAAUUUGAGAGGAUCUGCUCCUAGUACGAGAGGACCAGAGUGGACGAACCUCUGGUGUACCGGUUGUGACGCCAGUCGCAUCGCCGGGUAGCUAUGUUCGGAAGG